rnacentral:rRNA from 1 species
AUUGAACGCUGGCGGAAUGCUUUACACAUGCAAGUCGAACGGCAGCACGGGGCAACCUGGUGGCGAGUGGCGAACGGGUGAGUAAUACAUCGGAACGUGCCCAAUCGUGGGGGAUAACGUAGCGAAAGUUACGCUAAUACCGCAUACGAUCUACGGAUGAAAGCGGGGGAUCGCAAGACCUCGCGCGAAUGGAGCGGCCGAUGUCAGAUUAGGUAGUUGGUGGGGUAAAGGCUCACCAAGCCAACGAUCUGUAGCUGGUCUGAGAGGACGACCAGCCACACUGAAACUGAGACACGGUCCAGACUCCUACGGGAGGCAGCAGUGGGGAAUUUUGGACAAUGGGCGCAAGCCUGAUCCAGCCAUUCCGCGUGCAGGAUGAAGGCCUUCGGGUUGUAAACUGCUUUGUUACGGAACGAACGGCGAGCUCUAAUACAGUUUGCUAAUGACGGUACCGUAAGAAUAAGCACCGGCUAACUACGUGCCAGCAGCCGCGGUAAGU